AACUGAUACUCGCAGUUUUCGGCGAAUAAGUUGUUUGUAUAAAACAGGUAUAAAAUUUAUAACAUGUUACAAUGUAUGUCAUUAGGUCUAACGAAAUGGCAGGGAGAGCUGUCCUGUUCGCUUUUUUUACUUUAGUCGCGUACACUACAGCCGAUGGACAAAAUGACCUGACCAGGAUACAACGCUCCCCGCACUACUGCGACUAUCCACCACCGCCACCGCCGACUCCCCCACCUCCUCCACCACUAGGACCACCACCUCCUCCUCC